rnacentral:rRNA from 1 species
AGCGAACGCUGGCGGCAGGCCUAACACAUGCAAGUCGAACGAACCUUUCGGGGUUAGUGGCGGACGGGUGAGUAACACGUGGGAACGUGCCUUUAGGUUCGGAAUAACUCAGGGAAACUUGUGCUAAUACCGAAUGUGCCCUUCGGGGGAAAGAUUAAUCGCCUUUAGAGCGGCCCGCGUCUGAUUAGCUAGUUGGUUGAGGUAAUGGCUCACCAAGGCGACGAUCAGUAGCUGGUCUGAGAGGAUGAUCAGCCACAUUGGGACUGAGACACGGCCCAAACGCGUACGGGAGGCAGCAGGGGGGAAGUUUGGGGAAGGGGGGAAAGGAUGAUCAAGCAAUACAGCGUGUGGGAUGAAGGCCCUCGGGGGGGAAAGCACAGUGGGGGGGAAAGAAAAGGAGUCGGCGAAUACCACGCGGGGAGGACGGUACCCGAAGAAGAAGCACCGGCUAACUUCGGG